UGUAACAAGCGACUGCAUAUUCUGUUCUGCAUUGACGGCGGGUGUAUUCUUUUGUAAGCGCGGUAAAUAUGUUCUAACAUCCAUUUUGUUAUAAGUUGUUUGCUGGCGUAAAUACAUUAUGGUUGUAUUUUAGAUGUGUAAGAAGGCACAAAUAUCUUACAGUUUUGACGAAAAGCUAUAGAUCUGUUGGAACACAUUAUUACGGGACAUGAGCAAUACUUCAUCGUGUUUAACUCUUGAAGCAUUCUACACAUGUUGAACUGCUGGCAUUUCGUUGUCAGCGAGUCCCGUUUGCCAAUAAUUCCUACUGUGCACUUGCUAAAUGGGAACAGGACCUUCUCUCGUGUUUUUAAAAAAUAAGUUUAUUUUGGCUUGCUUGGUACAUUUGUAAAAUUCCUGAGGAGCCUGGGAUUUGAGACAGAGCAUAUAAAAAAAAUUACCCUUUACCGCCUUGGCCGGGAAUUGCUGUCAAAGUGAGCCUUGCACCUCUGAAUUCCUCAAAAGACGGCGGAUACAGCGAAGGGAAAUAACGUUAGCGUUCGCGCAUCGCUCUUAUAAAAAUGAGUUGGCCAGGCCAGGUUGGCAGCUAACUUGACUCUGUCAGUCAUCCUUUGAGGCUCUUCCGUCUUCUCAGCAGAGCGGGCAAGCAGUUGAAUAGCUCGUAAAAACACAUCUGAAACAAAUUAGGUUUCCAUUAUAUUCACCAAGAGCUGGCUGAUAAAUAGGCGUCUGUAUUUACAGCAAAACUAAUUGCCUGCAUACACAGACGUAUCACCGCAUGCUAUUCUACACAACCUGAUAUCAACAGCAUUUCUGACUUCCACAUAAAAGAUGCAGGAUCUUCUGUUUUGACAGUGCUGUAACAAGUAGACGUCUCUUCAGCUGGAUUUCAGCACAACUAUGAGCAACACGGGGGAAGCCCUGUGGACAUUAAUUUACCUCAAUAUCCACGUUCGCCCUAUGGGGAAACAGCAGGCACUUCACUAAAGAGGCAAGCAUCACACAUACCAUCUUCACCCGUUUCUUGUUACUUCGGGCCUAGUAUCUCCAUUCUUACUAAGGGAAUUGAUAUUUCUCUGCUACUUUGACCAAGUAUCUCCUCUUCGCAGGCCGAGUGUGGUGCGACUCUCUUCCCACACACAGACCCACACACACUUGAAAUCAGGACAACUGUGGCUCUUUACAUCUGAAAAUAAUUUUACGCCCCUUAGACCUCCCGCCCGCCACCUAGUGAUGAGAAAAGAGCCGAGUUCCAGCAUUUAUUCAUAUAUAAUUCAAUACCAAUGAUGGGAUGCCUACGAAAUACCUGCCAGGAUCUGACGGAUUUGCCAGGCGAAUGUGUGAACGUGAUCUAUAUAAUAACAACUGGAUCGUGUAUCCCAUUGCUUGUCCAAUAACCGCCUCCUUCGCUAUGUCAGGUCGCAUUAAUUUUUUCGGAUGUUCAACCACUUGAGAUCCGAUCUCACUGCUCCUCCAACACGCUAAAGACGGCAUUGCAUGUUAAAAUGCACAAAAAGACAUAAGGAAUGUGAUUGUGUUUUGCCUGUGAAUAAUUUUACUGUACUAAUUUCAUUAACACUUUGCACUGUAUUUUCCUGGAUAUAUGUGACGACAAAUCAUUCACCCAUUCAUUCAAUUAACUUGUUAUGGAUUUUCUGGCUGUCUUUAAUAUAAAGAUAAAAUGAAGCGUAAUUUUUCCGUUAUCAUCUACGAUUAUACAAUAUGUGUAUUUGAUGAGAUGUUGCAAUAUUACGGUAAAACAUCUCCAGAUUCGCUAGCAUUGUCAAAUGGUCUUUAGGAAUCCUGUAUGUAGUGCAAUUGUUCCUUUCCAUCUUCAUGUUUUGAGUCAAAUUCGCAUGAAAAAAAUUAACUGACAUUUCCAACAAUCGACAGCACUCUUACUCAUAAUACCAA